UACGGGGGGGGCAAGCGUUGUUCGGAAUUACUGGGCGUAAAGGGCUCGUAGGCGGCCAACUAAGUCAGACGUGAAAUCCCUCGGCUUAACCGGGGAACUGCGUCUGAUACUGGAUGGCUUGAGUUUGGGAGAGGGAUGCGGAAUUCCAGGUGUAGCGGUGAAAUGCGUAGAUAUCUGGAGGAACACCGGUGGCGAAGGCGGCAUCCUGGACCAACACUGACGCUGAGUGAGCGAAAGCCAGGGGAGCAAACCGG
rnacentral:rRNA from 1 species